AGUUGUUUGGUUUUUGUUGACAAGAGCAUCACCGCACUUUCUCAUUAAAAUCUCCACCCUUACGGCAUGUUCACAAGCAACUACACAGUUCCCCGGAUUGGUCUGGAAAUGAUCGUUUUACUCUGUCAUCGCUCUCGCCCACGUUUAGACCAAAAACACGCCGCAGCUGUCCCUGCGUACCUCUGUAACAAGCCCCACGAGGCGGCACCUCAGGCCACCUCAGAGACCGCUCACAUCAGUUCAGGCAGAGGUCCAAGUCAACAGGCCCGACCCAAUAAAGCUCACAGGGCUCCCCGCUGCCUGGGAGCAGCCUCUCAGCUCGCCUCAUAAUUAUUCUUUGGGCCCUGUUAAGAAGCCAGAGACUCUCUCCUUGCCCCAUUACUCACACAGAGAGCCAAAGAUGCUGCAUAGAGGCUCCCCAGGCUGCACUAUCACAAAGCCACAGCGGUGUAGACAUGCCACUUUGCUGCCUGGGAUUUCAUUCAUUACCACAGACCGGGAGAGCAGCUUUAUUACCUGCACGUUUGCAAUGGUUGGUUCAGAAAGAGAAGAAGUGACAAAGCAGCAAAUUACAGCUUUUAAAUCGAGAACGGUCCGAAAAGGAGAAAAUAUCCAGUGAGCUGCAGUUCUCGGAAACGCCUUGUUAAUCACAAGAAGCGUCACAACUGGUUCCUGAAGACGACAGCGAACUGUCUGUACUCAAACGGGCUCCACAGUGUCCAGAUGUCAAUCCAAUAGACCACCUUUGGGAUGUGGUGGAACUGGAGAUUGACAUCGUGGAUGUGCAACAACUGUGUGAUGAUGUCAUUUCAAUAUGGACAAAAAUCACUGAGGAAUGUUUCUAGUACUUUGUUGGAUUUAUGCCACAAAGAAUUCAGGAAGUUCUGGUGCUCUGCUUUGAAUGUAAUUUUAAUUAGUCCAAAUGUUUCCCAGCUGCCAUGUACGCUUUACUUAUGUUUCAAAGUGGCUCAAAAAUCUUCAGCUGUCACAACUGGAUAGAAAAUGUUUUGACAGUUUUGAGAUGUGUCUGUUUCAGAUGACCGAGGACUGCCACACUAGAAAAACAGUGGUGAAGAGUGGUGCCGUUUCCUUAUCAAAAAUCCUGAUGAUUAAACAUACUUGGAGGGCAUAUCUGGAGAGAAUAUAUGCAGGUCACAGGUUAAGUAAGAGAAAUGAUUUCUUUAAUUGUUCUAUGAUUGGAAAAAUUACAGAAAGAAGUGCAAAGAACAUAAAACAUUCACAACAGGAAGCGAAACCCCAGAAAACAAGCAGGUCACUUGUAGAUGGGUUUGAGGCUGGAUUUUAUUUAGUCCACUUUUAAAAUGUACAUUUCUCUUGAGAUUCAUUAAAAAAGAUAAAGCAUCAUCAGCUUUGCAGUCCAUUUCACAAAGAGACUGCAAUAAAGGAAAGAGUGAAGUAGAAGGAAGAUGACUUAGUAGGCACAUCUUUCAAACGAUACAUGUUAAAUCUAAUUGAUGGCAAAAUAUGUACAGCUAUGAGUUGUUUCUUUGUUUUUUUAAAAUCACGUGGCAGCACAUGCUUGGGAUUUCUGCGCGAGAGCCGACAGUCAAGUCAAGUAAAGCAGGGAUGUAUGCCGGCGAAGACUUUCUGUCUCUAAAAUAUGCAUCAAGUUGACUGCACGAGGCAGUCAAUUUCCCAAAACUGUAUGCCAGUUCAAUUUAAAAUAAAUUAAACCUAAGUGGAGAGAGAAAUGAGGAAGAGAAA